rnacentral:rRNA from 1 species
AACGAACGCUGGCGGCAUGCCUAACACAUGCAAGUCGAACGAUCCCUUCGGGGAUAGUGGCGCACGGGUGCGUAACGCGUGGGAACCUGCCCUUAGGUUCGUAAUAACUCAGAGAAAUUUGAGCUAAUACCGGAUAAUGUCUUCGGACCAAAGAUUUAUCGCCUUUGGAUGGGCCCGCGUUGGAUUAGCUAGUUGGUGGGGUAAAGGCCUACCAAGGCGACGAUCCAUAGCUGGUCUGAGAGGAUGAUCAGCCACACUGGGACUGAGACACGGCCCAGACUCCUACGGGAGGCAGCAGUGGGGAAUAUUGGACAAUGGGCGAAAGCCUGAUCCAGCAAUGCCGCGUGAGUGAUGAAGGCCUUAGGGUUGUAAAGCUCUUUUACCCGGGAUGAUAAUGACAGUACCGGGAGAAUAAGCCCCGGCUAACUCCGUG